AUGGCGCCACCCACAGUGGUGGACCCUCCCCAUCAACCACUAAUUAAGAAAAUGCUUACAGCCUGAUCUUAUGGAGGCGUUUUCUCAAUUGUGACUCCUUCCUAUCACAGGACUCUAGUCUGUGUCAAGUUGACAUAAAAGUAGCCAGAACCACCUUUGAACUGCAAGGAGCCACUGGCAUCCAACUGAAGAUGCCAUCCAACCAGACUCAACCCCUUGGUGAGAAGUGGAGAAGGAACAGAGUUUCCAUCAGGCUCCAGAGUCCCAAGACCAAGGCGUGGCGGUGGAGCAGAGCUUUGUGCUACCACAGGUCCCUCCUGCCACCUGUAGGGCACCUGGGGGCUAGCACCCCUCGCCUUGCCUGCCUCACCCUCCGGAUAAGUCUGCUUAUUUCACAGCUGACUGCCCCAGCACAGAUUGGAGUGACCUCCGGCAGCUAGAAAAGUACCAGGCCAUCCUGGACAGGCUGCAGAGGGAGGCCCUGACACUGGACCCCCCUGGGUAAGCAUGGAGAGAGGGUGGUGGCUCAGGCCAGGCGGGCCUCCACCCAUGCUGGCAUUAAAAUCCUAGGUGACACUGAGCAGGGUUGAGGGGCUUUGUUUCCACUUUGCACUUGAGAGUGAGCCGUCUCCUCCCAGCGGAGAAGAGGCAGCUGCUCUGGUGCUCACUGGUAGCCACUUUGCCCCAAGCUCUGGCUCAAGUCCCUUCCAGGUGCCCUUGUGACCCACCAGAGCUGCCCUGCACCAGGUAUUCUCAUUGCCUCCCAGAUGCCACCGAG
rnacentral:lncRNA from 1 species